CCAGGAGCUUGCUCCUGGGUGAGAGUGGCGAACGGGUGAGUAAUGCGUGACCGACCUGCCCCAUACACCGGAAUAGCUCCUGGAAACGGGUGGUAAUGCCGGAUGCUCCAGUUGGAUGCAUGUCCUUCUGGGAAAGAUUCAUCGGUAUGGGAUGGGGUCGCGUCCUAUCAGCUUGAUGGCGGGGUAACGGCCCACCAUGGCUUCGACGGGUAGCCGGCCUGAGAGGGCGACCGGCCACAUUGGGACUGAGAUACGGCCCAGACUCCUACGGGAGGCAGCAGUGGGGAAUAUUGCACAAUGGGCGCAAGCCUGAUGCAGCGACGCCGCGUGCGGGAUGACGGCCUUCGGGUUGUAAACCGCUUUUGACUGGGAGCAAGCCCUUCGGGGUGAGUGUACCUUUCGAAUAAGCACCGGCUAACUACGUGCCAGCAGCCGCGGUAAUACGUAGGGUGCAAGCGUUAUCCGGAAUUAUUGGGCGUAAAGGGCUCGUAGGCGGUUCGUCGCGUCCGGUGUGAAAGUCCAUCGCUUAACGGUGGAUCCGCGCCGGGUACGGGCGGGCUUGAGUGCGGUAGGGGAGACUGGAAUUCCCGGUGUAACGGUGGAAUGUGUAGAUAUCGGGAAGAACACCAAUGGCGAAGGCAGGUCUCUGGGCCGUCACUGACGCUGANGAGCGAAAGCGUGGGGAGCGAACAGGAUUAGAUACCCUGGUAGUCCACGCCGUAAACGGUGGAUGCUGGAUGUGGGGACCAUUCCACGGUCUCCGUGUCGGANCCNACGCGUUAAGCAUCCCGCCUGGGGAGUACGGCCGCAAGGCUAAAACUCAAAGAAAUUGACGGGGGCCCGCACAAGCGGCGGA
rnacentral:rRNA from 1 species